CGUGAGUAACCUGCCUUGGAGUGGGGAAUAACAGCUGGAAACAGCUGCUAAUACCGCAUAAUAUAUCUGUGUCGCAUGGCACUGGAUAUCAAAGAUUUAUCGCUCUGAGAUGGACUCGCGUCUGAUUAGCUGGUUGGCGGGGUAACGGCCCACCAAGGCGACGAUCAGUAGCCGGACUGAGAGGUUGGCCGGCCACAUUGGGACUGAGACACGGCCCAGACUCCUACGGAAGGCAGCAG
rnacentral:rRNA from 1 species